rnacentral:rRNA from 2 species
AGUCGAGCGGACAGAAGGGAGCUUGCUCCCGGAUGUUAGCGGCGGACGGGUGAGUAACACGUGGGUAACCUGCCUGUAAGACUGGGAUAACUCCGGGAAACCGGAGCUAAUACCGGAUAGUUCCUUGAACCGCAUGGUUCAAGGAUGAAAGACGGUUUCGGCUGUCACUUGCAGAUGGACCCGCGGCGCAUUAGCUAGUUGGUGGGGUAAUGGCUCACCAAGGCGACGAUGCGUAGCCGACCUGAGAGGGUGAUCGGCCACACUGGGACUGAGACACGGCCCAGACUCCUACGGGAGGCAGCAGUAGGGAAUCUUCCGCAAUGGACGAAAGUCUGACGGAGCAACGCCGCGUGAGUGAUGAAGGUUUUCGGAUCGUAAAGCUCUGUUGUUAGGGAAGAACAAGUGCGAGAGUAACUGCUCGCACCUUGACGGUACCUAACCAGAAAGCCACGGCUAACUACGUGCCAGCAGCCGCGGUAAUACGUAGGUGGCAAGCGUUGUCCGGAAUUAUUGGGCGUAAAGGGCUCGCAGGCGGUUUCUUAAGUCUGAUGUGAAAGCCCCCGGCUCAACCGGGGAGGGUCAUUGGAAACUGGGAAACUUGAGUGCAGAAGAGGAGAGUGGAAUUCCACGUGUAGCGGUGAAAUGCGUAGAGAUGUGGAGGAACACCAGUGGCGAAGGCGACUCUCUGGUCUGUAACUGACGCUGAGGAGCGAAAGCGUGGGGAGCGAACAGGAUUAGAUACCCUGGUAGUCCACGCCGUAAACGAUGAGUGCUAAGUGUUAGGGGGUUUCCGCCCCUUAGUGCUGCAGCU